GAUGAACGCUAGCGAUAGGCUUAACACAUGCAAGUCGAGGGGCAGCAUGGUCUUAGCUUGCUAAGACUGAUGGCGACCGGCGCACGGGUGCGUAACGCGUAUGCAACUUGCCUCACAGAGGGGGAUAACCCGUCGAAAGACGGACUAAUACCGCGUACACUUGGGAUAGGGCAUCCUGACCCAAGGAAAUGAAAUUCGCUGUGAGAUAGGCAUGCGUCCCAUUAGCUAGUUGGUGAGGUAACGGCUCACCAAGGCGACGGUGGGUAGGGGAACUGGGAGAGUGAGCCCCCGCACGGGUACUGAGACACGGACCAGACUCCUACGGGCGGAAGCAGUGAGGAAUAUUGGUCGAUGGGCGAGAGCCUGAACCAGCCAAGUCGCGUGAAGGAUGACUGGCUUAUGGAUUGUAAACUUCUGUUAUACGGGAAUAACAAGAGCCACGUGUGGCUCCCUGCAUGUACCGGAUGAAUAAGCAUCGGCUAACUACGUG
rnacentral:rRNA from 1 species